rnacentral:rRNA from 6 species
UGUUUCGGCUAGGGGGCCAUCCCGGCUUACCAACCCGAUGCAAACUGCGAAUACCGGAGAAUGUUAUCACGGGAGACACACGGCGGGUGCUAACGUCCGUCGUGAAGAGGGAAACAACCCAGACCGCCAGCUAAGGUCCCAAAGUCAUGGUUAAGUGGGAAACGAUGUGGGAAGGCCCAGACAGCCAGGAUGUUGGCUUAGAAGCAGCCAUCAUUUAAAGAAAGCGUAAUAGCUCACUGGUCGAGUCGGCCUGCGCGGAAGAUGUAACGGGGCUAAACCAUGCACCGAAGCUGCGGCAGCGACACUUUAGUGUUGUUGGGUAGGGGAGCGUUCUGUAAGCCGUUGAAGGUGUCCUGUGAGGGGUGCUGGAGGUAUCAGAAGUGCGAAUGCUGACAUAAGUAACGAUAAAGCGGGUGAAAAGCCCGCUCGCCGGAAGACCAAGGGUUCCUGUCCAACGUUAAUCGGGGCAGGGUGAGUCGACCCCUAAGGCGAGGCCGAAAGGCGUAGUCGAUGGGAAACGGGUUAAUAUUCCCGUACUUGGUGUUACUGCGAAGGGGGGACGGAGAAGGCUAUGUUGGCCGGGCGACGGUAGUCCCGGUUUAAGCGUGUAGGCUGGUUUUCCAGGCAAAUCCGGAAAAUCAAGGCUGAGGCGUGAUGACGAGGCACCACGGUGCUGAAGCAACAAAUGCCCUGCUUCCAGGAAAAGCCUCUAAGCAUCAGGUAACAUCAAAUCGUACCCCAAACCGACACAGGUGGUCAGGUAGAGAAUACCAAGGCGCUUGAGAGAACUCGGGUGAAGGAACUAGGCAAAAUGGUGCCGUAACUUCGGGAGAAGGCACGCUGACACGUAGGUGAAGUGAUUUACUCACGGAGCUGAAGUCAGUCGAAGAUACCAGCUGGCUGCAACUGUUUAUUAAAAACACAGCACUGUGCAAACACGAAAGUGGACGUAUACGGUGUGACGCCUGCCCGGUGCCGGAAGGUUAAUUGAUGGGGUCAGCGCAAGCGAAGCUCCUGAUCGAAGCCCCGGUAAACGGCGGCCGUAACUAUAACGGUCCUAAGGUAGCGAAAUUCCUUGUCGGGUAAGUUCCGACCUGCACGAAUGGCGUAAUGAUGGCCAGGCUGUCUCCACCCGAGACUCAGUGAAAUUGAACUCGCUGUGAAGAUGCAGUGUACCCGCGGCAAGACGGAAAGACCCCGUGAACCUUUACUAUAGCUUGACACUGAACAUUGAGCCUUGAUGUGUAGGAUAGGUGGGAGGCUUUGAAGCGUGGACGCCAGUCUGCGUGGAGCCGACCUUGAAAUACCACCCUUUAAUGUUUGAUGUUCUAACGUGGACCCGUAAUCCGGGUUGCGGACAGUGUCUGGUGGGUAGUUUGACUGGGGCGGUCUCCUCCUAAAGAGUAACGGAGGAGCACGAAGGUUGGCUAAUCCUGGUCGGACAUCAGGAGGUUAGUGCAAUGGCAUAAGCCAGCUUGACUGCGAGCGUGACGGCGCGAGCAGGUGCGAAAGCAGGUCAUAGUGAUCCGGUGGUUCUGAAUGGAAGGGCCAUCGCUCAACGGAUAAAAGGUACUCCGGGGAUAACAGGCUGAUACCGCCCAAGAGUUCAUAUCGACGGCGGUGUUUGGCACCUCGAUGUCGGCUCAUCACAUCCUGGGGCUGAAGUAGGUCCCAAGGGUAUGGCUGUUCGCCAUUUAAAGUGGUACGCGAGCUGGGUUUAGAACGUCGUGAGACAGUUCGGUCC